rnacentral:lncRNA from 1 species
UGGAGGUAGAUAUGUAUAGGGGACAGGGAUACUGGAGUGAUGGAGGUAGAUAUGUAUAGGGGACAGGGAUACUGGAGUGAUGGAGGUAGAUAUGUGUAGGGGGAAGGAGACAGGGAUACUGGAGUGAUGGAGGUAGAUAUGUAUAGGGGGAAGGGGACAGGGAUACUGGAGUGAUGGAGGUAGAUAUGUAUAGGGGACAGGGAUACUGGAGUGAUGGAGGUAGAUAUGUAUAGGGGUAAGGUGACUAUAUAUCAGGAUAUAUGAUAAACAGAGUAGCAGCAAACGUAUAUGAUGGUUGUAUGUAAGUGGGUGUAGAGUCAGUAUGAAUGUGUGGGUGUGUCUGUGUGUGUGAGUGAGGGUAGAGACAAAUAAAAUAGCAUGGUUCAAUGCAGAUCAAUCAGUCAAAUGUAUUUAUAAAUCCCUUUUUACGUAGUCUUCUGUUGGUAGAGCAUGGCUUUGCAACAC